UAGGCUUUGUGCAUGUGAAAUGAGGA
rnacentral:piRNA from 1 species